rnacentral:lncRNA from 1 species
AAUAUAUACUCAAUCACUGAGUUUACAUAAUUGGAACAUAACAGUGAAGCAAACUUCCCCAUCUUCCGCUUAGCUCUCAUUUCUGCAUGUAUCCUCGUGGCCACAUAAGCUGCCCAAUUGAAUACCAUACCUUCUAGUGUUCCUAUCAUGGAAAACAGUAAUCGCUUCGUCAUGUAGGUGGUAUGCCGAUUCAAUGUUAACCACUUCUAAACGAACCGCAUCUAUUCCAUAAGUUCAGGUGUAAGUGCCUCAUGUAUCUUCUAUCCUUGAUUUUACUCGAGAGACGACAUUCCUCCUUUAAAGUAGCUUCCUCGCCUGAAGUCAUUUGACGCAUCUCCUCUCACCUCAAGCUCUUCGGUUGGUAAAUACAAGACCUUAUGUAAGAUAUUCUCAUCUAUCACAAUCAAGACUCCUCUUACCACAC